GAAAGACACCUUAAGAUGUAAAAUAUAAGAAAUCCAAAAAGUCAAGACGUAAAUUGUAAAAAUAAAUAAAAUAAGAUGUAAGUUAAAAAAGAAAGACAUUUGGGGUGUAAAAUGCAAGAAGCUCAAAACCAGUAACCCGCUCUCCUCCUUCCCCUUCUUUCUUGCUCCCUUAUCUCUCCUCCACCACCUCAAAACAUAAACCCUUGCCAGAAAAGCUCCAAUUACUCCCUGCGCAAUCCAUCUCCCCCACCUUGAAAACCCGCAAAAACAGUAAAAUAAGCCCCAUUUAGGGGGCAAGAAUUCAAAAAUCUUUCAAAUUCACAAUUUUCUUCAGUUUUGGUUUCAAAUCCGGACUUUCAAGUCCGGAUUUCACCUAUAAAUAGGGUGUUCUUCAACCCCAAAGGAACAAGCUGAAAAAUUGGAAAAUAGCAGUAAAAGUCUGAGAGAAAAAAAAAAAGCAGAGGAGAAGGAGAAGAAUUGAGGGAAAAAGAAGCUAAGUUUCGGGACAAAGCAAAAAAAAAGGGGGGGGGGGGGGGAUGAAAAUAGGCCUUCAAAAUCUGGGGUCUCAAAGAUUUCUUAGUAUUCUUUUGAUUUUUGCUCCAAUGAGGUUUCGGGUUGAGUUUAAGGUGGCCGAAAUUUUGACGAAAAAGCCUCGAUUUUGCUGCCCCAUUCAAGUAUUGGGUCAACCGCAAUUAGGAUCGCAGAGCUUUGGAGUCUCGCAAAUUGGGAGUCCAAACUCCUAAAUCGAAUUUCGUGUUCUUUAUCCUCAUGUUUAACUUUUAUUUAUCACGUUGAGUUUUUUUUUGAUAGCUAACUCUUGUUAUUGAAUUUGUUUAAGAUAAUUUUAUUUGAUUAUUGAAUUUAUGUUGUCUUGUUA